rnacentral:misc_RNA from 1 species
GAUGAAGAACGCAGUGAAAUGCGAUAAGUAAUGUGAAUUGCAGAAUUCAGUGAAUCAUCGAAUCUUUGAACGCACCUUGCACUCCUUGGUAUUCCGAGGAGUACGCCUGUUCGAGUGUUAUGAAGCUCUCAAAACGCAAUUGGCUUAAAACCUGAUUGUUGUUUUGGAUUUGAACUUUGCCGUGUUAUAACGGCUGGUUUUAAAAGUAUUAGCUGGUACUAGAACGAAUUGGUUCUACUCAACGUGAUAAUUAUCUGAUCGUUGAGGACAUUCCUUUCACGAGGAAUGGCCAUAGUAAAUUCAAUGGACUGCUUCUAAUCUGGCUUUAAUUCUUUAUUGGAUUAACCACUUUUCAAAUCUGACCUCGAAUCAGGUGGGACUACCCGCUGAACUUAAGCAUAUCAAUCAGCGGAGGA